ensembl:snoRNA small nucleolar RNA, C/D box 114-12
UGGACCAGUGAUGAUCAGUGCCGGCGUAUGAGGCUCAGGUCAUGAAUAAUACGUUUCUGGAACUCUGAGGUCCAA